rnacentral:rRNA from 1 species
AUGGUGGCGGCGUCGAGGCCGUGCUUGGGCUGUGGGGCCUGGGGCUGCCCUUGCAGGGGCUGUGCGCUGUGGCGCCGCGUGCGGCGAAGGUGGAGGAAGCGCAGGCAGAGGAAGAUGACGACGAGGAAGAAGCAGCAGGCGAAGGAUGCCGCCAACGCGCUGAGCAGCGUCGUUGUGCUGCAGCACGGGGCCACGGCCUCUCCGGGCUGA